AUGGGAGGCAGCAGUGGGGAAUAUUGGGCAAUGGGCGAAAGCCUGACCCAGCAACGCCGCGUGGAGGAAGAAGGUCUUCGGAUUGUAAACUUCUUUUAUGAGGGACGAAGGACGUGACGGUACCUCAUGAAUAAGCCACGGCUAACUACGUGCCAGCAGCCGCGGUAAUACGUAGGUGGCAAGCGUUAUCCGGAUUUACUGGGUGUAAAGGGCGCGUAGGCGGGGCAGCAAGUCAGAUGUGAAAUCUAUGGGCUUAACCCAUAAACUGCAUUUGAAACUGUUGUUCUUGAGUGCUGGAGAGGUAGACGGAAUUCCUUGUGUAGCGGUGAAAUGCGUAGAUAUAAGGAAGAACACCGGUGGCGAAGGCGGUCUACUGGACAGUAACUGACGCUGAGGCGCGAAAGCGUGGGGAGCAAACAGGAUUAGAUACCCUGGUA
rnacentral:rRNA from 1 species